GCUGGCGUAGCUCAGUCGGUAGAGCAGCUGUCUUGUAAACAGCAGGUCGUCGGUUCGAUUCCGACCGCCAGCUCCA
rnacentral:tRNA from 1 species